rnacentral:rRNA from 1 species
AUUGAACGCUGGCGGCAGGCCUAACACAUGCAAGUCGAGCGGUAGAGAGAAGCUUGCUUCUCUUGAGAGCGGCGGACGGGUGAGUAAAGCCUAGGAAUCUGCCUGGUAGUGGGGGAUAACGUUCGGAAACGGACGCUAAUACCGCAUACGUCCUACGGGAGAAAGCAGGGGACCUUCGGGCCUUGCGCUAUCAGAUGAGCCUAGGUCGGAUUAGCUAGUUGGUGAGGUAAUGGCUCACCAAGGCGACGAUCCGUAACUGGUCUGAGAGGAUGAGCAGUCACACUGGAACGGAGACACGGUCCAGACUCCUACGGGAGGCAGCAGUGGGGAAUAUUGGACAAUGGGCGAAAGCCUGAUCCAGCCAUGCCGCGUGUGUGAAGAAGGUCUUCGGAUUGUAAAGCACUUUAAGUUGGGAGGAAGAGCAUUAACCUAAUACGUUAGUGUUUUGACGUUACCGACAGAAUAAGCACCGGCUAACUCUGUGCCAGCAGCCGCCGUAA